AGAAAGCAAGGAAAGGCCUUUUUAGGAGCGCCUGAAAGUGGAACUGGAAAGCAAAAGCCAAUCGACUUUUACGGUCGAGAAAGAUGAGAGUUGUCUCGCGCUGUCUACUACUUACAGCUCCUUUUCUCACUUCUCUAUUACAUCUUUCGGCUGCCACCGUCGUCCUCAAUUCUAUUGCCGCUUCUUUUCCCGAUCUUCCUGCCAAUUUUGACGGCUCCGUCACCAGAAACGGAAUAUGUGGAGCUCUGUACGUCGCAGAUCCUCUCGACGGUUGCUCGCCGGUGCUCCACGCUGCCCCAUCUAACUGGACAGAACAGAGAAGUAAGUUCGCUUUGAUUAUCAGAGGCGAAUGUUCUUUCGAGGAUAAGCUGCUUAAUGCUCAGAACUCCGGUUUUCAAGCUGUGAUUGUCUACGACAACGUAGACAACGAAGAUCUCGUCGUUAUGAAGGUAAACCCUCAGGACAUUACAGUGAAUGCAGUUUUCGUUUCAAAUGUUGCGGGUGAGAUCUUGAGCAAGUACGCGAGAGGCCGAGAGGGUGAAUGCUGCCUUUAUCCGCCGAGCAAGGGGAGUGCUUGGACUGUGCUCGCCAUCUCAUUCUUCUCUCUCCUUCUAAUCGUUACCUUCCUCUUGCUUGCCUUCUUUGCUCCUAGACACUGGACCCAAUGGCGUGCCAGGCUCAACAGGACUGUGAGAGUUGAUGCACAGCUGGUCCGGACACUCCCCAGCUUCACGUUUAGUGAUUCUGGCCUGCACAAUUCCGGAGAAACAUGUGCGAUAUGCCUCGAGGAUUAUAGAGUUGCAGAAAGCCUAAGACUACUUCCCUGCCAACAUGCUUUUCACUUGAGUUGCAUCGACUCUUGGUUGACAAAAUGGGGUACAUCCUGCCCGGUUUGCAAGCAUGAUAUUAGGACCGAGACUAUGUCUUCCGAGGUGAGCCCAUGAGACUGACUCUGUUUCCAUAUGUAUUGUCAAAUCCCUGGGUAAUUGUCCGAGUAGGCACAUAAACGAGAUAGUCCUAGAACAGAUACAAGAACAGAGUAGAUAACUUUGCUCGAUCCAAUCAAAGCCAUAAUAUUUAUUAUUGGCUUAUGUCCAGAUCAGUGCUCGGUUGUGUGGAUCAGGUCCACGUCCGCAUCGAUCCGAUAUUUCAAAUGAUAUUGAACAGUGAAUCAUGUUGGUAUAGCUGUAUAAGUAUAGGUAAAGCCUUUGGAUUUGCCAUAUUGGUCGGGUGUCGAUACUCUGCUGGUUUUUCCCGAAUCAAACAGAUCUGAGUUGCUUUGCUUGCCGGCUUGUUGUUGUUCUUUCCCUGUGUACUUUCUUUGUAUAUUUACAGAAGGAUGCUCCAUAUAAAUGAUCAUUGUGUGUGCGCCUGUUGUUUCGUGAUAUUUUAUCUGCGAAUUUGAUAUCA